rnacentral:rRNA from 1 species
GACGAACGCUGGCGGCGUGCUUAACACAUGCAAGUCGAACGGAAAGGCCCUGCUUUUGUGGGGUGCUCGAGUGGCGAACGGGUGAGUAACACGUGAGUAACCUGCCCUUGACUUUGGGAUAACUUCAGGAAACUGGGGCUAAUACCGGAUAGGAGCUCCUGCUGCAUGGUGGGGGUUGGAAAGUUUCGGCGGUUGGGGAUGGACUCGCGGCUUAUCAGCUUGUUGGUGGGGUAGUGGCUUACCAAGGCUUUGACGGGUAGCCGGCCUGAGAGGGUGACCGGCCACAUUGGGACUGAGAUACGGCCCAGACUACUACGGGAGGCAGCAGUGGGGAAUAUUGCACAAUGGGCGGAAGCCAGAUGCAGCAACGCCGCGUGCGGGAUGACGGCCUUCGAGUUAUAAACCGCUUUCGCAUGUGACGAAGCGUGAGUGACGGUAAUGGGUAAAGAAGCACCGGCUAACUACGUG